rnacentral:rRNA from 1 species
AAUGAACGCUGGCGGCGUGCCUAACACAUGCAAGUCGAGCGAGAAAGUCCCCUUCGGGGGGCGAGUAAAGCGGCGCACGGGUGAGUAACGCGUGGGUAACCUACCCUUGAGUGGGGGAUAACCAGCCGAAAGGCUGACUAAUCCCGCAUACGACCGGCAGACACAAGUCUGCCGGGGAAAGAUGGCCUCUGCUUGCAAGCUAUCGCUCUUGGACGGGCCCGCGUUGGAUUAGCUAGUUGGUGAGGUAACGGCUCACCAAGGCUGCGAUCCAUAGCUGGUUUGAGAGGACGACCAGCCACACUGGAACUGAGACACGGUCCAGACUCCUACGGGAGGCAGCAGUGAGGAAUAUUGCGCAAUGGGGGAAACCCUGACGCAGCGACGCCGUGUGAGCGAUGAAGGCC